UACGUAGGUGGCAAGCGUUUGUCCGGAUUUAUUGGGUUUAAAGGGUGCGUAGGCGGUUUUUUAAGUCAGUGCUGAAAUACUCCAGCUUAACUGGAGGGGUGGCAUUGAUACUGGAAGACUUGAGUACGAUGAGGUAGGCGGAAUUGACGGUGUAGCGGUGAAAUGCAUAGAUAUCGUCAAGAACACCGAUAGCGAAGGCAGCUUACUGGGCUGUAACUGACGCUGAUGCACGAAAAGUGUGGGGAUCAAACAGG
rnacentral:rRNA from 1 species